rnacentral:lncRNA from 1 species
GCUGGGGCUUUCAGCUUCAAGCUUCUAAAACAACCAAACCUGUGUAGAACAAAACCAAAAGAAGCAAAUGGAGAAAAGGCUGUCCUUGGCCACCCUGAAUCAUUCUUUUUCCCUCCUCCCCUGUUUCCUCCGAACCCCUUUCAGCCUCCUCCGUUGCUUCCUCCCAUACUGCCACCACCAGCUCCACUUAUUCCAAACCCAUUUCAGCCUCCUCCAGCUCCACUUAUUCCAGCCUCCUCCAGCACCACCGGCUCCACUUAUUCCAAACCCUUUUCAGCCUCCUCCCGCACCACCGGCUCCACUUAUUCCAAACCCUUUCCAGCCUCCUCCCGCACCUCCAGCUCCAUUUAUCCCGAACCCCUUCCAGCCUCCUCCGGCAC